UGGAAUGGCACUCCUUUACAUCUGGCUCUUCAUCAUACAGAGAUGUACUCCGUCCCGAUAAUUUCAUCUGUAAACGAUAUAUUGGCUCAGAAGAGUCUCAAGUCAUACUUGCAGCAAUUAAAGUAUCUUCUUAUCUUGGGCCUUUAAGGAGCUUGUGAAAGAAUGGGGUCAAAACUUAAGUCUCUUCUCCUAAACCCUUGAGGAAUGGAUGAAUUGUCAAAGAACGUGGCUUUGUCCUGAACCAAUCUUUCAUUCACUAGAAAUACAAAGGCAGCUCCCUGCAGAAACAAAACUCUUCUCUCAAGUAAUCUCCAUGUGGAAAGAAAUAAUGUCAAAAAUACGAAACAAACUGGAAGCUUUGCGAAUAACAACUUCUGCAGGAGUCCUUGAAGUUCUGCAAAAUUGCAAUAUACAUCUUGAACACAUAAAGAAAAGUCUUGAGGUAAAACAAUACAACCUUGAGGUGGAGACUUUUUUAAUUCUACGGAAGUAAUGUAAUACACUACAGACACUAACUCCGACACAGAUGUUUUGCUGUACUCUUAACUGCCAACAAUUUUUCCAGCUCUCAUUACCUAUUGCAUUAAUGAAAAUAAUAUCAAAAGAAAAAAACAGACUGAUCUAAAUGACCUGCAGGCAAAGUACUAACUUUUAAGUGCUGGAUUCCCUUAUCUUUCAGUCGCCCUCUUGAGGGCCUUUGUCCUACUGAGAUGCUGUCAAGAGCACGCACAAAGAAAGUACUUCUGGUUAUCGACUAGCUCUAAUAUCAUUAAAUUGAGCAAACGUUGAAGUAGAAUCUUUUGAUGGUUCUAUAAAUCAAAUGACUAACUUCAUAUAUCUUUACACUGUCAGAACAUGAAAUUUUCAGCUGGACACUCACAUCCAUACAGACUGGGUUCUGCUGUUGAAGAUUUGUGGUGCUCCUAUUCAUGUCCCUUCACGAGCCAAGGAUUUUUUCAGGCGUCCAUUGCUGUCCCUUGUUGAACACAGCAGCAGUGGUGUGAGGACCCUCCAGAGAGCCUGGGUGGGCACAGCAAGGUGAUCUCUGUACAAAUCCGUGCUCUGGGCAGGCAGAAGGAACUGCACCCAGAGAUGUGAUUAAAAGUAGCCAGUUUAUGAGGCAGUCAUUGAGAUAAGCUGCCAGAUACUCCUAGCACAUCUCAAACUGAGGACCCAUUACUAAGGAUCAUCACAAACCAGUAGACUUUCAUUUAUUUGUGUAUUGAUUGUGUACUCUGUACCAGGAACUAUUAUUGUCUGCUUGGACCGCAAAGUUAGAAGUCAUCUUUUCUCCUAUUUCAGAACUCAAAAUCUGUUAUAGAGGGGAAAAGUGAAGAGAUAUUGCAAUGCUAUGAUGGGUUGGGUAGCAUGGCCAUGGCAAAGAGAAGACUUUACCCGGCUGGGGGAGCUGUGGCUUAGCAAGCUGUGUGAGGUAGAACAGAGCGGGUGGGUGUGAGGCAAUGAGAAGUGCAAACUUUCUGGGCAGCAAGAUGCCUGGGGAUGGGUGAAAGUCGAGGUUCUCCAGGGAGCGCAAGAUGGUGAGGGAAAGGCCUUGAAUAUUGCCAGACCUUGACUUUCAUGAGCAGCCACCAAAGAAUUUUAGGUAGGAAAAUGAAAUAAUUUAAUUCAGAAAUGUCUCUCUGAAGAACAGUAUGGCUUAGACACUGCUGUGGUUUGUUUCUUUUCUGUGGCACUUAGGAAAACACUCAAGAUGAGAGGAAUUCGCUUUGGCUCUUGGGGUGGGGGUGGGAGUGUCCAGGAGUCUGGCCCAGCUUCUGGCUUGGAUUCCUGGCAGGAAAGUGAAAGGGCAGGUGAGCAUAUGUAGGAGACACACACAAGGAGUGGCUUCACCUCCUGGGAGUCUGCUCCAGGAACCCUCACCCUGUCAGCCUGUCCCCACAGCAGUCCUUUGGGGGGGUUGGGGGGAGAUCAGGGUCCAGGCUGUGACCUGGCUGACAACAUGGAGAACAGUCAUUCACAGCAACAGGAGCUGGAGGAGGAGGUGGGUGUGGAAAGGAGUGCGUUUUGAUCACAGUAAGAGCUCACAGGCUCUUCCAGGGAGAAAUUGGGUACAGUCACCUUGCUUUGCAAUUUCAUUUUCCAUGGUUUCUGUACUUAAAGUCUGACUACAGUCAGUUGCAUUCUGGAAAUAUUUGGUGGAAAAUUCCAGGAGUAAACAACACAUACUUUAUGAAUUGUGAUUCUUUCUGAGCAUGUGAUAAAUCCUCAGCUGGCCAGUUCCACCCCUGGGACUCAGUGCACCCAGCUGCACUCUGCUCACUGGGCAGCCACCUUGGUCACGAGGCCUCUGCCUGGGGCUCACAGUGUGUGCCCAAGGAUAAACAAGGCCCGGGGCCAUUCACAGGCCAGGCAUCUAGGGGUCCUGAAACAUGUCACCACAGGUAAGGGCGACCUGGCAGCUGUGUCAACCUAGGGCAGAAAGUAGCAAGAGGAGCAAGGGAGGCUAUGUCACAUUGUGCAAGAGGGCACAAGAGCAAUCGGGUAGAGCUCAACAGGGUUCAACAUAAAGGUGCAGGGGACCAAGGGAUUCCAGAGGGAAAUGAUAAAAAGAGUGAAAUUAAAGAAAUCAGAAGAUGGGCCAGGGAU